rnacentral:ncRNA from 1 species
GGGAAAGAUGACAUANCAAUGAAAACCAAGCACCACACAGCAAAGAUACACACAGCAAAGAUAAACCCUUGAACCUUUUGCAUCAUGAUCUAGNAAGGACAACCAGACAAAGCAAACUUAAGCCUGCCAUCCUGAAACCCAAGCAAGCUACUCACAAGCAGCUACCCUGAGCUAACCCAUCUCUCUUGCAAAAGAGUGGGAUGACUUGUUAGUAGAGGUGAAAAGCCAACCAAGCUGGGUGAUAGCUGGUCACCUGCAAAACUAAUGCAAGUUCCCCCUUAGCCCCCUUCCCCCUAGACAAACCAGCCUAACCCCCAUGUAAUGGACUGACAGCUAUUUGAAGGGAUACAGCCCCUUUAAAAAAGGACACAACCUCUGCUAGCGGAUAACCCCACCCCACCUCACACCCACGGGCCUUAAAGCAGCCACCCCUAAAGAAUGCGUCAAAGCUCCUCAAACAAAAAAUUCCAAAACCAACGCUACUCCCUACACUCCUAGCAGGCCAACCUGUAACAAUAGAUGAGUGAANGCUAGAAUGAGUAACCAGGAUNCAUCCCCUUAAGCUCCAACCUACACACCAUUAACAGCACAACCACAAUACAAAGCCCUCCNCUCAAUCAAACAUUGAAUACAUCUUGUCAACCCAAACCAGGAGUGCACACUAGGANGAUUAAAAUCUGCAAAAGGAACUUGGNAAACUCAAGGUCCAACUGUUUACCAAAAACAUAGCCUUCAGCCAAACAAGUAUUGAAGGUUAUGCCUGCCCAGUGACACCACACUUAACGGCCACGGUAUCCUAACCAUGCAAAGGUAGCGCAAUCAAUUGUCCCAUAAAUCAAGACUUGUAUGAGUGGCUCAACAAGGUCUUACCUGUCUCCUGCANACAAUCAGUGAAACUGAUCUCCCCGUGCAAAAGCAGGGAUAAUCACAUAAGACGAGAAGNCCCUGUNGAAAUUUAAAGUCAAUAGCCACCACACACACCCAACUCAAAACCCACNGGGCCUACUANCCAAAACACUGGCAAAUAUUUUUAGGUUGGGGUGACCUUAGAGAAAAACAAAUCCUCCAAAAACACGGCCAAACCCCUUAACCACNAGUAACCCUCAACAUGCCAACAGUACCCAGACCCAACAAAAUUUACCGAUGAACCAAGAUACCCCAGGGAUAACAGNGCAACCUCCCCCAAGAGAGAGGAGGCUUACAACCUCAGUGUUGAAUCAGGACAUCCUAGUGGUGCAGCCACUACUAAGGGCUCAUUUUUUCAACAAUGAACAGUCCUACGUGAUCUGAGUUCAGACUGGAGUAAUCCAGGUCGCUUUCUAUCUAUGNCUAACCUUCCCCAG